rnacentral:lncRNA from 10 species
GAAGCUGUCACAGAGAAGUUUUACCUUGAAUUACAAGCCCAGAUAAUUUAAAUUUUAAGUAUGUAAUGUGGAGUUGACCCUUGAACAACAUGGGUUUUAACUGCGUGGGUGCACUUACACAUGGAUUUUCUUCCAACUCUGCCACGUCGAAGACAGCAAAAUCAACCAUUCCUCUUUUUCCUCAGCCUACUCAACAUGAAGACUAUGAGGAUGAAGACCUUUAUGAUGAUCAACUUCCACUUAAUGAAUAGUAAAUAUAUUUUUCCUUCCUAAUGAUUUAACAAUUUCUCUAGCUUACUUUGUUGAAGAAUACAGUAUAUAAUACAUAUACAAAAUAUGUGUUAAUUAACUUUAUGUUAUCAGUAAGGCUUUUGGUCAGCAGUAGGCUAUUAGUAGUUACGUUUGCGGGGAGUCAAAAGUUGUAUGCGAGUUUUUGACUGCUUGAGGGUUGGUGUGUCUAACCGCCACAUUGUUUAAGGGUCAACUGAAUUAGGCUUUGUGCUUAGCCAGUGCAGAUAUUCCUGUCUUUAUGGAAUAGUCUAAUUCUGGAGCAUAUGAAAUGCCAUAAGACUAAAUACUUCAAUGGAAAAAAUCAAGUAGCUACCUGGAAGGCUUCGGUGCUCUGGGACAUGUUUCACAUUCUUAGUCUCCCCUGUUGCUGGGAGUUAUGGACUGUAAUAGCUAUUUCACUGUUGUAAUACAGUAAGUAUUUUGUUGACUUUGGUUUUAUUUACAUCAGUAUUAUUUAAUUCAGUGAACACUUAUUGAGUAUUAUUUAAUUCAGUGAACACUUACUGAGUAUGUAUGAAUAUACAUACUCAAUAAGAUGUGGAAUGGCCAUCUUAGAGACUGUAAAUAAUUACAGUGCCAUAACUACAAUAAUAAAAACAUGUAUGAGAUGCAGACAAGAGAGAGUGCUUGCCACCCAUUUGUUUCUAGAAAAUUCACCUAGGCUAAAGCAUCUACUGCAAGUCCACAUUGAAAAUGUUAGGGCCUCAUCUUGAUGUUUGAAGCUGAUAAUUUUGGGUGUCACCAGUAGUUUUAGCCCAACUCCACUUUUAUUUACUCCAGCUUGAAUUUUUGAAAGUUUAAGACUUUAAGCCAUGUAAAGUGAGACAAUUUAUCAUUUUCCUGCACUAAUUUUUAAAAAAUCAUACAACAGCUGAAUGAGGUCUGCUAUGUCCUUUUUGUAGAUGAAGAAGCGUAUUACAUCACUCUGUCCAAAAGAAAUUUUAUUCAGAUUUAUUUCAGAAAGAGCUUUACUUCACCUGAGAAAUUGCCUUUUCCUUAUGGACAAAGCAGAUUAUUAAUUGGUUGCCCGAUAUUUUUGCUGUAGUUGUGAGAAAUCUCCUAUUAAAAUUGGGUUCAGGCUGGGUGCGGUGGCUCACACCUGUAAUCCCAGCACUUUGGGAGGCCGAGGUGGGCAGAUCACCUGAGGUCGGGCGUUCGAGACCAGCCUGGCCAAUACGGUGAAACCCCGUCUCUACUAAAAAUACAAAAAAUUAGCUGGUCAUAGUGGCAGGCACCUGUAAUCCCAGCUACUUGGGAGACUGAGGCAGGAGAAUUGCUUGAAACCAGGAGAUGGAGGUGGCAGUGAGCAGAGAUCCCACCCCUGCACUCCAGCCUGGGUGACAGAGCGAGACUCCAUCUCAAAAA